rnacentral:piRNA from 1 species
UGUCACCGUCCUCGUGAAAGCAUUUUCUUU